rnacentral:rRNA from 1 species
UACGUAGGGGGCAAGCGUUGUCCGGAUUCAUUGGGCGUAAAGAGCUCGUAGGCGGUUCGAUAAGUCGGGUGUGAAACCUCCAGGCUCAACCUGGAGACGCCACCCGAUACUGUCGUGACUAGAGUCCAGUAGGGGAGCGUGGAAUUCCUGGUGUAGCGGUGAAAUGCGCAGAUAUCAGGAGGAACACCAGCGGCGAAGGCGGCGCUCUGGGCUGGAACUGACGCUGAGGAGCGAAAGCGUGGGGAGCGAACAGG